rnacentral:SRP_RNA from 1 species
GCCAGGUAUGGUGGCAUGCACCUGUAGUCCUAGCUACUCGGGAGGCUGAGGCAGUAGAAUCACUGAGCCCCAGAGUUCUGGGCUAUAGAGCACUAAUGUCAAUCGGGUGUCUGCACUAAAUUUCAUGGCAAUAUAGUGACCUCCCAGGCGUGACGGACAAUCAGGUUGCCUAAGGAGGGGUGAACUGGCCCAGGUAGGACACAGAGAAGGUUGAAACUUCAGUGCUGAUCAGUGGUGGGAUUAGGCCUGUGAAUAGCCACUGCACUCCGGCCUGGGCAACAUGGCAAGACCCUGUCUCUU